AGGCUAGGGUGCGGCGCUGAUGUGGCGAAGUGGCGGCUAGUGUUUCUAUUCCCUCUUUUUUUUUGGCUAAAAAUUGUUUAGGUUUUGGGCUUGUUGGGCCUCUAGGGUUUUUUUUGUUUAAUUUGGGCUUUGUAAUUGUAAAAUUGGGCCUGAUGGACUUUGGACUGUUGUUGCUAUUAUUUUUUUAUUAUUAUUUUUUGGUUGUUGUUUAGGGCCCGAACAAAAUUAGGCCUUUACAGGGGUCACUGAAAUCAUUGUUAGGAUCAUUGUGGGACUGAUCUUCAUUAUCAAACCUUUCAUCACCAUCUUCUAUUGUGGCCAAUAUUUUCGGAUGGAUCUCUAGACGAGUACACAUGGUUGGGAUGUAAUAUGAACAUCCACCGGUGUUCAGAUUUUUGGGAGUUGGCAUU
rnacentral:lncRNA from 1 species